GACGAACGCUGGCGGUGUGCUUAACACAUGCAAGUCGAACGGUAAGGCCCUUUCGGGGGUACACGAGUGGCGAACGGGUGAGUAACACGUGAGUAACCUGCCCUCAUCUCUGGGAUAACAGUCGGAAACGGUUGCUAAUACUGGAUAUGAGCCUGCAAGGCAUCUUGUGGGUUGGAAAGAUUUUUUGGUUGGGGAUGGACUCGCGGCCUAUCAGCUUGUUGGUGAGGUAGUGGCUCACCAAGGCUUCGACGGGUAGCCGGCCUGAGAGGGCGACCGGCCACAUUGGGACUGAGAUACGGCCCAAACUCCUACGGGAGGCAGCAGGGGGGAAUAUUGCACAAUGGACGGAAGUCUGAUGCAGCAACGCCGCGUGCGGGAUGACGGCCUUCGGGUUGUAAACCGCUUUCAAUUGUGACGAAGCUUUUUGUGACGGUAGCAGUAGAAGAAGCACCGGCUAACUACGUG
rnacentral:rRNA from 1 species